AUAUAUAUAUAUGUGUGUGUGUGUGUGUGUGUGUAUAUAUAUAUAUACACACACACACACACAUAUAUAUAUAUAU